rnacentral:rRNA from 1 species
CAGCCGCCACGGUAAUACGUAGGUGGCAAGCGUUGUCCGGAAUUAUUGGGCGUAAAGGGCUCGCAGGCGGUUUCUUAAGUCUGAUGUGAAAGCCCCCGGCUCAACCGGGGAGGGUCAUUGGAAACUGGGAAACUUGAGUGCAGAAGAGGAGAGUGGAAUUCCAUGUGUAGCGGUGAAAUGCGCAGAGAUAUGGAGGAACACCAGUGGCGAAGGCGACUUUCUGGUCUGUAACUGACGCUGAUGUGCGAAAGCGUGGGGAUCAAACAGGAUUAGAUACCCCAGUAGUCCCUGUCUCUUAUAC